UACGAAGGGGGGCUAGCGUUGCUCGGAAUCACUGGGCGUAAAGCGCACGUAGGCGGAUCUUUAAGUCAGGGGUGAAAUCCUGGAGCUCAACUCCAGAACUGCCUUUGAUACUGAGGAUCUUGAGUCCGGGAGAGGUGAGUGGAACUCCGAGUGUAGAGGUGAAAUUCGUAGAUAUUCGGAAGAACACCAGUGGCGAAGGCGGCUCACUGGCCCGGUACUGACGCUGAGGUGCGAAAGCGUGGGGAGCAACAGG
rnacentral:rRNA from 1 species